GCUUAACACAUGCAAGUCGAACGAAGAUAUUUAGAUUGAGAGCUUCGGCAGGAUUUUUAUCUAUCUUAGUGGCGGACGGGUGAGUAACGUGUGGGCAACCUGCCCUGUACUGGGGAAUAAUCAUUGGAAACGAUGACUAAUACCGCAUGUGGUCCUCGGAAGGCAUCUUCUGAGGAAGAAAGGAUUUAUUCGGUACAGGAUGGGCCCGCAUCUGAUUAGCUAGUUGGUGAGAUAACAGCCCACCAAGGCGACGAUCAGUAGCCGACCUGAGAGGGUGAUCGGCCACAUUGGGACUGAGACACGGCCCAAACUCCUACGGGAGGCAGCAGUGGGGAAUAUUGCACAAUGGGCGAAAGCCUGAUGCAGCAACGCCGCGUGAAGGAUGAAGGGUUUCGGCUCGUAAACUUCUAUCAAUAGGGAAGAAACAAAUGACGGUACCUAAAUAAGAAGCCCCGGCUAACUACGUGCCAGCAGCCGCGGUAAUACGUAGGGGGCAAGCGUUAUCCGGAAUUACUGGGUGUAAAGGGAGCGUAGGCGGCAUGGUAAGCCAGAUGUGAAAGCCUUGGGCUUAACCCGAGGAUUGCAUUUGGAACUAUCAAGCUAGAGUACAGGAGAGGAAAGCGGAAUUCCUAGUGUAGCGGUGAAAUGCGUAGAUAUUAGGAAGAACACCAGUGGCGAAGGCGGCUUUCUGGACUGAAACUGACGCUGAGGCUCGAAAGCGUGGGGAGCAAACAGGAUUAGAUACCCUGGUAGUCCACGCCGUAAACGAUGAGUGCUAGGUGUCGGGGAGGGAAUCCUCGGUGCCGCAGCUAACGCAAUAAGCACUCCACCUGGGGAGUACGACCGCAAGGUUGAAACUCAAAGGAAUUGACGGGGGCCCGCACAAGCGGUGGAGCAUGUGGUUUAAUUCGAAGCAACGCGAAGAACCUUACCAAGGCUUGACAUCCCGAUGACCGCUCUAGAGAUAGAGCUUCUCUUCGGAGCAUCGGUGACAGGUGGUGCAUGGUUGUCGUCAGCUCGUGUCGUGAGAUGUUGGGUUAAGUCCCGCAACGAGCGCAACCCUUAUCUUCAGUAGCCAUCAUUCAGUUGGGCACUCUGGAGAGACUGCCGUGGAUAACACGGAGGAAGGUGGGGAUGACGUCAAAUCAUCAUGCCCCUUAUGUCUUGGGCUACACACGUGCUACAAUGGCUGGUAACAAAGUGACGCAAGACGGCGACGUUAAGCAAAUCACAAAAACCCAGUCCCAGUUCGGAUUGUAGUCUGCAACUCGACUACAUGAAGCUGGAAUCGCUAGUAAUCGCGAAUCAGCAUGUCGCGGUGAAUGACGUUCCCGGGCCUUGUACACACCGCCCGUCACACCAUGGGAGUUGGAAGCACCCGAAGUCGGUGACCUAACCGUAAGGAAGGAGCCGCCGAAGGUGAAGCCAGUGACUGGGGC
rnacentral:rRNA from 1 species